GGCCCCGCACAAGCGGCGGAGCAUGCGGAUUAAUUCGAUGCAACGCGAAGAACCUUACCUGGGUUUGACAUGUACUGGAAAGAUCUAGAGAUAGAUCCCCCUUUAUGGCCGGUACACAGGUGGUGCAUGGCUGUCAUCAGCUCGUGUCGUGAGAUGUUGGGUUAAGUCCCGCAACGAGCGCAACCCUCGUCCUAUGUUGCCAGCGGGUAAUGCCGGGGACUCGUGGGAGACUGCCGGGGUCAACUCGGAGGAAGGUGGGGACGACGUCAAGUCAUCAUGCCCCUUAUGUCCAGGGCUUCACGCAUGCUACAAUGGCCGGUACAAUGAGCUGCAAACCAGCAAUGGUAAGCGAAUCUCAAAAAGCCGGUCUCAGUUCGGAUUGGGGUCUGCAACUCGACCCCAUGAAGUCGGAGUCGCUAGUAAUCGUAGAUCAGCAACGCUA
rnacentral:rRNA from 1 species